GCGAGGAUGGCGGAAUUGGUAGACGCGCUAGCUUCAGGUGUUAGUGUUCUUACGGACGUGGGGGUUCAAGUCCCCCUCUUCGCACCA
rnacentral:tRNA from 22 species